AUUGAACGCUGGCGGCAUGCCUUACACAUGCAAGUCGAACGGUAACGGGCCUUCGGGUGCCGACGAGUGGCGCUCGGGUGAGUAAUACAUCGGAACGUGCCCGAUCGUGGGGGAUAACGAGGCGAAAGCUUUGCUAAUACCGCAUACGAUCUACGGAUGAAAGCAGGGGACCGCAAGGCCUUGCGCGGACGGAGCGGCCGAUGGCAGAUUAGGUAGUUGGUGGGAUAAAAGCUUACCAAGCCGACGAUCUGUAGCUGGUCUGAGAGGAUGAUCAGCCACACUGGGACUGAGACACGGCCCAGACUCUUACGGGAGGCAGCAGUGGGGAAUUUUGGACAAUGGGCGCAAGCCUGAUCCAGCCAUGCCGCGUGCAGGAUGAAGGCCUUCGGGUUGUAAACUGCUUUUGUACGGAACGAAAAGCCUUCUUUUAAUACAGGAGGGUCAUGACGGUACCGUAAGAAUAAGCACCGGCUAACUACGUG
rnacentral:rRNA from 1 species